GGUCGGUUAGCUCAGUUGGUCAGAGCAUCGUACUGAUAUCCUCGGAACCGAGAUAUUUGGCAAUGCGAAGGUCGUAUGGUUCAAAUCCUACACUGACCA